GCGGAUCUCUGUUAUUCUAUAAAAAUUCAUUAUUAAAAGAUUAUCAAAAGAUGAAGCUUCUCACCUACAAUUUCUUAACUUCGAAGUGUAUUCGUGGAGUUAAGAUAGGCUUUCCGCUUAAAUUGAAUAUAGUUGAGAAAAAAGUCGUAUCUUCGGAGUUCAAUUCGGAAUUUAUUGCUCGAAUGUUACCUCGUCUGGAUUGGAGUGCUAUAAAACAGGCUGCUACUCACAUUGGCGCCGACCUGCCAGCCACCAUGCCAGAAGACAUUUCAUCCGAUUCGGAAACUUUGCAAAAGCUGCACCACAUUCUGCUGGAAGUCGACAUCGUCGAGGGCACGCUGGAGUGUCCGGAAACUGGACGACUGUUCCCGAUCAGUGACGGCAUACCGAACAUGUUGCUGAAUGAGGAUGAGGUUUAGUGGAGUUGUAGUAACAAGGCAAUGGUUGUCCGGGAAUUGAGCAGCUGGUUGGUGGCCUAUUACCCUGCACCCUAUUUCGGCUUCUAACUAACUCAUCUAAUAGUGACGAAGCCGUUACUGUAUGCUGUUGCAUUUUGAUGCAUCCAUUAUGGAAUGCUUUUUGCACAUUUGCAUUUAACAAUGACAGUUACGUUUAAAAUUAAAUUGCAUUAAUACUGCUUACAAUCUCUAUUUUUAACAUAAAUUGUAAAUAAAAAUACUUUCAGUAAUAAUUGAUUCGAUCUAGACA